rnacentral:rRNA from 1 species
GAUGAACGCUGGCGGCGUGCCUAAUACAUGCAAGUCGAGCGAACAGACGAGGAGCUUGCUCCUCUGACGUUAGCGGCGGACGGGUGAGUAACACGUGGAUAACCUACCUAUAAGACUGGGAUAACUUCGGGACACCGGCGCUAAUACCGUAUAAUAUAUUGAACCGCAUGGUUCAAUAGUGAAAGACGGUUUUGCUGUCACUUCUAGAUGGUUCCGCGCCGCAUUAGCUAGUAGGUAAGGUAACGGCGUACCAAGGCGACGAUGCGUAGCCGACCGGAGAGGGUGAUAGGCCACACUGGAACUGAGACACGGUCAAGACUACUACGGGAGGCAGCAGUAGGGAAUCGUCCGCAAUGGGCGAAAGCAUGACGGAGCAACGCCGCGUGAGUGAUGAAGGUCUUCGGAUCGUAAAAAUCUGUUAUUAGGGAAGAACAAAUGUGGAAGUAACUAUGCACGUCGUGACGGUACCUAAUCAGAAAGCCACGGCUAACUACGUG